GUCAAGUGACAAGUAUGCACAACUUGGAUGAUGAUUCCUCCAUACUGAAGAAAAACUGCCAGUGGGGAAAAUUACUGGACUAAAGUUUCUGAUAACAGUGUAACAUAUCUCCAGCAUUCCCCGAAAAGUUUCAUAUGGUUAGCACUGUCCAAUUACAACGCUCAAACGUAAAUUAUACUAACUUUAACAUGGG